rnacentral:rRNA from 1 species
AUACGUAGGGUGCAAGCGUUAAUCGGAAUUACUGGGCGUAAAGCGUGCGCAGGCGGUUUUGUAAGACAGUGGUGAAAUCCCCGGGCUCAACCUGGGAACUGCCAUUGUGACUGCAAGGCUGGAGUGCGGCAGAGGGGGAUGGAAUUCCGCGUGUAGCAGUGAAAUGCGUAGAUAUGCGGAGGAACACCGAUGGCGAAGGCAAUCCCCUGGGCCUGCACUGACGCUCAUGCACGAAAGCGUGGGGAGCAAACAGGAUUAGAUACCCUGGUAGUCCACGCCCUAAACGAUGUCAACUGGUUGUUGGGGAUUUAUUUUCUCAGUAACGAAGCUAACGCGUGAAGUUGACCGCCUGGGGAGUACGGCCACAAGGUUAAAACUCAAAGGAAUUGACGGGG